GACGAACGCUGGCGGCGUGCUUAACACAUGCAAGUCGAACGCGCCUGUACUCUGGGUUUCUGGGGGGUGGGGGAGUGGCGCACGGGUGAGUAGAAUGAGAGUAACCUGACCCCUUCUUCGGGAUAAAGGUCUGAAAGGGCUGCUAAUAACGGGUAUUCACUGAUCUCCGCAUGGGGUCUGGCGGAAAGGUUUUUGUGUGGUGGGGGAUGGGCUCGCGGCCUGUCAGCUGGUUGGUGGGGUGAUGGCCCAGCAAGGCUUUGACGGGUAGCCGGCCUGAUCGGGUGACCGGGCACAGUGGGACUGAGCUACGUCCCAGACUCCGACGGGGUGCAGCAUAGUGGAAUAUGGGACAAUGGGUGCAAGACUGAUGCAGCGACGCCGCGGGAGGGAUGGAGGCCUUCGGGUUGUGAAGCUCGUUCGCCCGUGCUCAAGCCGCGACGUGGGUCGUGGUGAGGGUAGUGGGUAAAGAAGCGCCGGCUAACUACGUG
rnacentral:rRNA from 1 species